rnacentral:rRNA from 1 species
GCGCAGCAGGCGCGAAACCUUUACACUGCACGCCAGUGCGAUAGGGGGACACCGAGUGCGUAGGCAUAGAGCCUACGCUUUUGUGUACCGUAAGGUGGUACACGAAUAAGGGCUGGGCAAGACCGGUGCCAGCCGCCGCGGUAACACCGGCAGCCCGAGUGAUGGCCGAUAUUAUUGGGCCUAAAGCGUCCGUAGCUGGCCGCGUAGGUCCGUCGGGAAAUCUACUGGCUUAACCAGUAGGCGUCCGGCGGAAACCUCGUGGCUUGGGACCGGAAGACCUGAGGGGUACGUCUGGGGUAGGAGUGAAAUCCUGUAAUCCUGGACGGACCACCGGUGGCGAAAGCGCCUCAGGAAGACGGAUCCGACAGUGAGGGACGAAAGCUAGGGUCUCGAACCGGAUUAGAUACCCGGGUAGUCCUAGCCGUAAACGAUGCUCGUUAGGUGGUGGCGCAGGCUACGAGCCUGCGCUGUGCCGUAGGGAAGCCGAGAAACGAGCCGCCUGGGAAGUACGUCUGCAAGGAUGAAACUUAAAGGAAUUGGCGGGGGAGCACUACAACCGGAGGAGCCUGCGGUUUAAUUGGAUUCAACGCCGGG